rnacentral:rRNA from 1 species
CGCGGCCCAGCCUCCCACCCUUGUCUCUAUACACCUGUUGCUUUGGCGGGCCCACCGGGGCCACCUGGUCGCCGGGGGACGCACGUCUCCGGGCCCGCGCCCGCCGAAGCGCUCUGUGAACCCUGAUGAAGAUGGGCUGUCUGAGUACUGUGAAAAUUGUCAAAACUUUCAACAAUGGAUCUCUUGGUUCCGGCAUCGAUGAAGAACGCAGCGAAAUGCGAUAAGUAAUGUGAAUUGCAGAAUUCCGUGAAUCAUCGAAUCUUUGAACGCACAUUGCGCCCCCUGGCAUUCCGGGGGGCAUGCCUGUCCGAGCGUCAUUUCUGCCCUCAAGCACGGCUUGUGUGUUGGGUGUGGUCCCCCCGGGGACCUGCCCGAAAGGCAGCGGCGACGUCCGUCUGGUCCUCGAGCGUAUGGGGCUCUGUCACUCGCUCGGGAAGGACCUGCGGGGGUUGGUCACCACCAUGUUUUACCACGGUUGACCUCGGAUCAGGUAGGAGUUACCCGCUGAACUUAAGCAUAUCAAUAAGCGGAGGAACAUUACCG